rnacentral:tRNA from 1 species
GAUCUAAUAGUUAAAAAAUAACAUAAAAUUGCAAGUUUUAAAUUUAACUAAGUUAUUAGAUUU